GAUGAACGCUGGCGGUAUGCCUAACACAUGCAAGUCGUACGAGAGUUUUUAACUCUAGUGGCGGACGGGUGAGUAACACGUGAGAAUUUGCCUUUAGAGGGGGAUAACAAUUGGAAACGAAUGCUAAUACCCCAUAUGCUUUCGAGUGAAAUGGAUUUUAUCCGCCUAGAGAGAAGCUCGCGGCUGAUUAGCUUGUUGGUAAGGUAAGAGCUUACCAAGGCGACGAUCAGUAUCNGGUUUGAGAGGACGAUCAGACACACUGGAACUGAGACACGGUCCAGACUCCUACGGGAGGCAGCAGUGGGGAAUUUUCCGCAAUGGGCGAAAGCCUGACGGAGCAAUACCGCGUGAGGGAAGAAUGCCUAUGGGUUGUAAACCUCUUUUUUCAGGGAGGAAUCAAAUGACGUGUACCUGAAGAAUAAGCAUCGGCUAACUCCGUG
rnacentral:rRNA from 1 species